AACGAACGCUGGCGGCAUGCCUAACACAUGCAAGUCGAACGAGACCUUCGGGUCUAGUGGCGCACGGGUGCGUAACGCGUGGGAACCUGCCCUUAGGUUCGGAAUAACUCCCCGAAAGGGGUGCUAAUACCGGAUAAUGUCUUCGGACCAGAGACUUAUCGCCUUUGGAUGGGCCCGCGUUGGAUUAGCUAGUUGGUAGGGUAAAAGCCUACCAAGGCGACGAUCCAUAGCUGGUCUGAGAGGAUGAUCAGCCACACUGGGACUGAGACACGGCCCAGACUCCUACGGGAGGCAGCAGUGGGGAAUAUUGGACAAUGGGCGAAAGCCUGAUCCAUCAGUGCCGCGUGAGUGAUGAAGGCCUUAGGGUUGUAAAGCUCUUUUACCCGGGAUGAUAAUGACAGUACCGGGAGAAUAAGCUCCGGCUAACUCCGUG
rnacentral:rRNA from 1 species